rnacentral:rRNA from 1 species
UGAUUCUGGCUCAGAACGAACGCUGGCGGCGUGGAUAAGACAUGCAAGUCGAACGCUAAUACAAAGGUAGCAAUAUCGUUGUGUUGGAGUGGCGAAAGGGUGAUUAACACGUGGGCAAGUUACCGCGAGAUCUGGGAUAACCUGCUGAAAGGCAGGCUAAUACUGGAUAACACCUUGGAUCGGCAUCGAUUCAAGUUUAAAGCUGGGGACCCGCAAGGGCCUGGCGACUCGCGAUACGCCCGCGUCCUAUCAGCUAGUUGGCGGGGUAAAAGCCCACCAAGGCUAAGACGGGUAGCUGGUCUAAGAGGACGACCAGCCACACUGGAACUGAGACACGGUCCAGACACCUACGGGUGGCAGCAGUCGAGAAUUUUUCACAAUGGGCGAAAGCCUGAUGGAGCGACGCCGCGUGGGGGAUGAAUGGCUUCGGCCGUAAACCCCUGUCAUUGCGACUAAACUCUGAAUUGAACAGAUUCAGACUGAAGUAGCGAAAGAGGAAGGGACGGCGUAACU